rnacentral:rRNA from 1 species
UACGUAGGGGGCGAGCGUUGUCCGGAUUUAUUGGGCGUAAAGAGCUCGUAGGCGGUUUGUCGCGUCUGCUGUGAAAACUGGGGGCUCAACCCCCAGCCUGCAGUGGGUACGGGCAGACUAGAGUGCGGUAGGGGAGAUUGGAAUUCCUGGUGUAGCGGUGGAAUGCGCAGAUAUCAGGAGGAACACCGAUGGCGAAGGCAGAUCUCUGGGCCGUAACUGACGCUGAGGAGCGAAAGCAUGGGGAGCGAACAGG